UGAACCAGCCAUGCCGCGUGAAGGAAGAAUGUCCUAUGGAUUGUAAACUUCUUUUAUUUGGGAAGAAACCCUUCUACGUGUAGAAGGCUGACGGUACCAAAGGAAUAAGGACCGGCUAACUCCGUGCCAGCAGCCGCGGUAAUACGGAGGGUCCAAGCGUUAUCCGGAAUCAUUGGGUUUAAAGGGUUCGCAGGCGGUUUAAUAAGUCAGUGGUGAAAUCCCGUAGCUCAACUAUGGAACUGCCAUUGAUACUGUUAGACUUGAAUACAGUUGGAGUAGGCGGAAUGUGUAGUGUAGCGGUGAAAUGCUUAGAUAUUACACAGAACACCGAUAGCGAAGGCAGCUUACUAAACUGUGAUUGACGCUCAUGAACGAAAGCGUGGGGAGCGAACAGGAUUAGAUACCCUGGUAGUCCACGCCGUAAACUAUGAUUACUCGAUAUUGGCGAUAUACGGUCAGUGUCUAAGCGAAAGUGAUAAGUAAUCCACCUGGGGAGUACGGUCGCAAGAUUGAAACUCAAAGGAAUUGACGG
rnacentral:rRNA from 1 species